AGCGAACGCUGGCGGCAGGCUUAACACAUGCAAGUCGAGCGGGCACUUCGGUGUCAGCGGCAGACGGGUGAGUAACACGUGGGAACGUACCCUUUGGUUCGGAAUAACGCUGGGAAACUAGCGCUAAUACCGGAUACGCCCUUUUGGGGAAAGGCUUGCUGCCGAAGGAUCGGCCCGCGUCUGAUUAGCUAGUUGGUGGGGUAAUGGCCUACCAAGGCGACGAUCAGUAGCUGGUCUGAGAGGAUGAUCAGCCACACUGGGACUGAGACACGGCCCAGACUCCUACGGGAGGCAGCAGUGGGGAAUAUUGGACAAUGGGCGCAGGCCUGAUCCAGCCAUGCCGCGUGAGUGAUGAAGGCCUUAGGGUUGUAAAGCUCUUUUGUCCGGGACGAUAAUGACGGUACCGGAAGAAUAAGCCCCGGCUAACUUCGUG
rnacentral:rRNA from 1 species